GUGUAAGGGAAGGUGUAAGGGAAGGAUGUAAGGGAAGGAUGUAAGGGAAGGUGUAAGGGAAGGUGUAAGGGAAGGAUGUAAGGGAAGGAUGUAAGGGAAGGUGUAAGGGAAGGAUGUAAGGGAAGGUGUAAGGGAAGGAUGUAAGGGAAGGAUGUAAGGGAAGGUGUAAGGGAAGGAUGUAAGGGAAGGUGUAAGGGAAGGAUGUAAGGGAAGGAUGUAAGGGAAGGUGUAAGGGAAGGUGUAAGGGAAGGUGUAAGGGAAGGUGUAAGGGAAGGAUGUAAGGGAAGGUGUAAGGGAAGGUGUAAGGGAAGGAUGUAAGGGAAGGUGUAAGGGAAGGAUGUAAGGGAAGGUGUAAGGGAAGGUGUAAGGGAAGGUGUAAGGGAAGGUGUAAGGGAAGGAUGUAAGGGAAGGUGUAAGGGAAGGUGUAAGGGAAGGUGUAAGGGAAGGAUUCUCAAGCUGAUAAAAUAAAGACCUGGGGCUUUAGGUAUCGUCAUGCCCACCUCCACCUCCACCUCCCUGGUGUGAACUGCUGUUGUUUCUCCCCUGGAUUAUUCCAGAAGUCUACUACUGGUCUCCUGCUCCUUGUCUCCCUUCAGUCUAGCCUGGCCCUAUUAGCCAGAGUGAUCCUGUUAAAACAUCUGUUAGGCCCAUCUCACCUAGACUAAACACCACAGUCCUUAGCAACAGUCUGUAAGGUCCUAUUGGACCUCCUGGUCUCCUCUGUGAUCUCUGACCUCUCCUCCUACUCAUCUGCCCCUCACCCCUGUGCUCCAGCCACACCGGCCUCCUUGCUGUCCCUUCCCCACACCAGACCUGUACCCUCACCGCUGCCUCCACCCGAGAACUCUUUCCCUGAGGUCCACGUGCCCGGCUCUUUCAUCUCUUUCAGGUCUUCACCUGCUCAGUGACUUUCUCAGUUAGACUUGUCCCAUCACAACACUUUAUAGUGCCCCCUCCUCUUCUCUCAAUUUAUAUCAUUCCUUCACACUUAUUAACAUAUAUUUUGUUCCUCUGACUUCCUUACUAGACUGUAAGCUUCACAAAACAGGAAAUUUUGUCUGUUGCCCUCUCCAGUAUAUCCCCAGCACCUAGAAAGGUGCCUGACACUCAAUAAAUAUUUGUUGGAUGUAUGGUUAAAGCAUAAAUUAAUGGUUAUGAGAUAAUAGUAGGGUUCAGCUGAUAUAAAAGCUGACGUGAUCUUGGGCCUCAUGCAGUGUUCACAUAGAUAUAGAAAGAUAUUUAUUGUAAAGAAUUGGCUCACAUGAUUAUGGAGGCUAGCAAGUUCAAAUUCUGCAGAGCCCAUGUCCCAGUUUGAGUCCAAAGGGCAGCAGGCUAUAGAACCAGGAAGAGCUGAUGCCCAGUUCAAAGGCCGUCAGCAGGAGAAUUCUCUCUUACUCAGGGGAAGGGUCAGCUUUUUGUUCUAUUUAGGCCUUUGACUGAUUGGGUGAGGCCCAUACCCAUUAGGAAGGGCAAUCUGUUUUAGUUAGUCUACGGAUCUAAAUGUUAAUCUCAUCCAAAAACACCCUCACAGAAAUACUCACAAUAAUGUUUGACCAAGUAUCUGGUACCCUGUAGCCCAGUCACAUUGACACCUAAAACUAACCUUCACAGUACUCUCUUCAGACCAAACCCAAACCCUAGGUUUUGUUCUGGGCAUCACAUACCAGAGACUAUGCUGAUGAAACUCUGACAACAUUGGUGUCUGGGGAGGAGAUGGGGGGAGUUGGGACUGUUGCCCUGAAGAAGUGAAGUCGUGACUGGGGUUGAGUGAUGACUUCAAACAUUUGAAGGCUUAUCUCAUGGAAGAAAGAGGAAGGGAUUCUUUGGUCUGGAAGGCCUACCUCAAACAAGUGGACGGAGGGCAAAUCUUACAGGUAGAAAGUAGGAAGAGAACUCUUCUGCCUUGGGAGCUACCCAGGUCUUCUUUCUGGAAGGGUUCAGGCAGUGGCCAGCUGUAAGCGGGAGUCUGAAGUGUCCCGUGCUGGUCUGCCUUGGGUGCUGCUUCUCUGACCUUGGGUAGGCCUUUAGCUUCUCGGAUGUUUCCUCCUCUCUACCGUGGAAAUCAGACUAGCCUACCUCACAGGUCAUCCUAAGGAUCAGGUGGAAAUAACAACACCUUGUAAAACUCGUUGGGGGUUGGGGUCAGAGUGAGAGAACUGGUGGUCAGAAGGGGCACCGACUAACCCCUUGUCGCGGCAGAAAAUUUCCACUGACCCACAGUCAGGGACGCUUCCCUGCCCCUGGCAGCUUUGCUUUCUUCUCACUGGAAUGUGCCUGAGGAGUGGCCGUUGACUCCUUUUCCAAAUUCCUCAGCCCUGAGUGUAUGAUCUGUGCCGCUGCUGGCCCUGGGGGAGACGGACACGCGAAGUGCAUGGCGCAUGGAGGGAGCUUCCCCUUUCGAGGAGUCAGCUACACGGUGGCGUCCCUUUUAAUUACUUCAGGAUACGUUCCCGAGUUGCUCCCCAUUUCUACUCUUAUUUACACUGUUCACAUUCUUGCCUCUGGAAUGCACCAGGGUGAUCUAUCCCACCUUCCACUCUGAAGAAAUGUACUCUCUGCAUAACGUAUUUAUAGCCCAAGUGUUUUAUUUGAUGGCUGUAACAUGAAUGAGAAAAAAAGAGCAGAACAUCCAGGGAUGCUUGCCUAAACAUUCAGAACUGUGCUGGCAGUGGGACAAAGGCCUUUGGACUGUUGUGGGUUUUUUCAGUGACAGGCUUAAUAAAAACGACUUUUUAGCACAAGUGCUUUUCAGUGAAAAGAAGAUUUUACUACAGUGCUUAAGUCAGAAAAUCAGAUAAACAUUGUUUGAAGUUCACUGUUGAUGAGUAGCUAAGCUUCAGAGGAUUUAUGCAUAGGUUGGCAUGGUUACCGUUGGCAGGUAGUUGGUUCAGGAGCUUUUUCUUAUGCAGGUGAUGUCAAAACAAGGUCAGGGCUUCCCUGGUGGCGCAGUGGUUGAGAGUCCGCCUGCCGAUGCAGGGGACACGGGUUCGUGCCCCGGUCCGGGAAGAUCCCACAUGCCGCGGAGCGGCUGUGCCCAUGAGCCACGGCCGCUGAGCCUGUGCGUCCGGAGCCUGUGCUCUGCAACGGGAGAGGCCACAACAGUGAGAGGCCUGCGUACCGCAAAAAAAACCCCAAAAAAACACAAGGUCAAAGCUAAAUGGUCCCCACUGGUUUUGCUUAUAACUGGCAUUGGGACAUGUAGCAAGUGUCAUUACUACACUUGGUAGCACUUCAUGGUGCCUGAUACAUAGUAAGUGUAUAGUAAAUGGUGACUGUUGUCAGUGGUCAUAGUUUACGCUCAGCUUAUUAAUGAUUAGUUCCGGGUUUCCCAAGCCAAUACAAACCAGAAAGGUUCUAUUAUUCUUUAUUAAGUACUAAACAGCCCAAUUUCUAGGAUAGAAAGAGCUGUCAAUUUGGGGAUCCAAUUUGGGGAUCCAGUAGAUGUUCGAGUGGCAGUAACAUUCGGUCAGUCCGAAGCGUAAACCAGGAUUUCUCAGUCAUGGCGCUAUGGACAUUUCAGAUAAUUCUUUGUUAUGGGGGCGGCCCUGUGCACUGUAGGAUGUUUAGCAGCAUCCCUGGCCUCUAUGCACUAGAUGCCAGUAGCUCCUCCCUCCCAGUUGUGACAAUCAAAAAUGUUUCCAGGCAUUGCCAAAUGUUUCCUGGGGGGCAGAAUCACCCCUGGUUAAGAACCACUGGUGUAGAGGAAACUGUGAGAUGCACGUUGGGCUUUUCAAACUGUGGAUCACGCAGUACCCAUUAAGGCUAGGCUUCUCAACUGUGGCUGAACAUUGGAAUCACCCAGGGAGCGCUUUUUUUUUGCAGUACGCGGGCCUCUCACUGCUGUGGCCU